rnacentral:rRNA from 1 species
GAUGAACGCUAGCGGCAGGCUUAACACAUGCAAGUCGAGGGGUAGGAGAAGCUUGCUUUUCUGAGACCGGCGCACGGGUGCGUAACGCGUAUGCAAUCUACCUUUCACAGAGGGAUAGCCCAGAGAAAUUUGGAUUAAUACCUCAUAGUAUAAUUGAAUGGCAUCAUUUAAUUAUUAAAGAUUUAUCGGUGAAAGAUGAGCAUGCGUCCCAUUAGCUAGUUGGUAUGGUAACGGCAUACCAAGGCAACGAUGGGUAGGGGUCCUGAGAGGGAGAUCCCUCACACUGGUACUGAGACACGGACCAGACUCCUACGGGAGGCAGCAGUGAGGAAUAUUGGACAAUGGGCGCAAGCCUGAUCCAGCCAUGCCGCGUGCAGGAUGACGGUCCUAUGGAUUGUAAACUGCUUUUAUACAGGAAGAAACACUCCCUCGUGAGGGAGCUUGACGGUGCUGUAAGAAUAAGGAUCGGCUAACUCCGUGCCAGCAGCCGCGGUAAUACGGAGGAUCCAAGCGUUAUCCGGAAUCAUUGGGUUUAAAGGGUCCGUAGGCGGUCAGGUAAGUCAGUGGUGAAAGCCCAUCGCUCAACGGUGGAACGGCCAUUGAUACUGUCUGACUUGAAUUAUUAGGAAGUAACUAGAAUAUGUAGUGUAGCGGUGAAAUGCUUAGAGAUUACAUGGAAUACCAAUUGCGAAGGCAGGUUACUACUAAUUGAUUGACGCUGAUGGACGAAAGCGUGGGUAGCGAACAGGAUUAGAUACCCUGGUAGUCCACGCCGUAAACGAUGGAUACUAGCUGUUGGGAGCAAUCUCAGUGGCUAAGCGAAAGUGAUAAGUAUCCCACCUGGGGAGUACGAACGCAAGUUUGAAACUCAAAGGAAUUGACGGGGGCCCGCACAAGCGGUGGAGCAUGUGGUUUAAUUCGAUGAUACGCGAGGAACCUUACCAAGGCUUAAAUGUAGAUUGACCGGUUGGAAACAGACU